rnacentral:rRNA from 1 species
CAAACCGGAGGAAGGUGGGGACGACGUCAAAUCAUCAUGCCCCUUAUGACCUGGGCUACACACGUGCUACAAUGGAUGGUACAACGAGUCGCGAGACCGCGAGGUUAAGCUAAUCUCUUAAAACCAUUCUCAGUUCGGACUGUAGGCUGCAACUCGCCUACACGAAGUCGGAAUCGCUAGUAAUCGCGGAUCAGCAUGCCGCGGUGAAUACGUUCCCGGGCCUUGUACACACCGCCCGUCACACCAUGAGAGUUUGUAACACCCAAAGCCGGUGGGGUAAC